ensembl:snRNA U6 U6 spliceosomal RNA
GUGCUCAUGAUUCAGCAGCAUGGAUAUUAAAAUUGGAAUGAUACAGAGAAGAUUAGCAUGGCCCCGUGCAAGAAUCACACACAAAUUCAUGAAACGUUCCAUAUAUUU